rnacentral:misc_RNA from 1 species
AGAAACAGGAAAAGUGUAGAUAGUUAAAGUAAAAGAUAUAGGAGCCAUCAUUCUUUCUAAUUCAAGCUUUUAUUAGCUCUUUCUCGGUCAUUUAUCAAGUCUAUUCUCUCUAACGAUUCAUAAUUGGAACGGGAGGUCCUAUUCCUAGCUUAGACUUUGUGCACAAGUUUAAAUUAUUCUGCUGGCUUUUUAGCUAGCUGUCUUAGAUUUUUUGCUGUUUGACA